rnacentral:rRNA from 1 species
UACGUAGGGUGCGAGCGUUAAUCGGAAUUACUGGGCGUAAAGCGUGCGUAGGCGGCUGCGCAAGUCGGGUGUGAAACCCCGGGGCUCAACCCCGGAACUGCAUCCGAUACUGCGUGGCUAGAGGUAGGUAGGGGAGAUCGGAAUCCUGGUGUAGCGGUGAAAUGCGCAGAUAUCAGGAGGAACACCGGUGGCGAAGGCGGAUCUCUGGGCCUUACCUGACGCUCAGGCACGAAAGCUAGGGGAGCGAACAGG